GGCAUUUAUUAAAUAACCUACGUGACAAUCAAAUUGUAGAGAAUAUGAGCAUUAGGAGUGUUCCAAAACCAUAGUAGGCAUUGAUAAAAUCAUAACAAUAUCACAUCAUCUAAAAUAGCUUACCUUGGAAUUAUAACAAAUAAAGGAAACCUGAAACAAAACAUUUUGGGGUUUUAAAUUUACAUACUAAUUUUCUCAGUGUUAAGUAAAAAGAUCAGACAUGAAAUUCUCAAAUAACUUUUUAUUUACAGGAAAACAUGAUUUUGCAUAUGCAGUAACAUAACAGUGCUAAGAGACCGCUGCUUCUACUGCCAACGGUCCUCUUGCAGUCCUAUGGAAUGAAGAUGGAUGGAGAUACUAAACUUUUGACCAAUUAACCACAAAGUUGGUUUUUAUUGUGUGGUAUCUAGCAUCAUUUGCUGCUAAUAAACUGGUUAAGUUGACAGAAACACAGGAUAUUGCCCAUAAACCGCCUUCUGCUUUGAUCAAUUUAGUGGAAUGUGCUGUAUCGAAGGGCAGAACUGACAACAUUGGUAAUCCUCAAAACAUUCUGCAGUCAAGAGGUCAUCUUAUACGAGGUCUUACGCUGUGCUGUCUCAUUAAGUCAUUGUAGCAUAUAUGUUGUGUCCUAAUAAUAGGUAAGGCCAUUCUCAAAUGUAGUCAGGAGGUCAUUUAUGUCAGAACGAAAACCAGCACUGUCUGCACUUACAUCUAAACACCUAGUACCCAAGUAUUGUCAAAUUCAGUCGCUCUACAUUACCCAGCAUUGACUGAACAUGUCGUGUAGUAUGAAGGAAGAUAUUUUGGGUAUCCUGUGUCCCUGUCAAAGUUAUCAUCGUGAAAUUGUAAAAGAAAUACAAACAUAAAUUUCUGUCUAAAAUUCAAGCUUCUUAUACAAGUGCAAUCAGCUGUGAGGGCUCAGGGUAAGUUAAACCACCUAAUUAGCACCGUCCUUGUUAACUCCCAGAUCAGAGACCACAAUGUGCAAAAUGUGCCAAUCACGUUCCCUAAAACAUGUAAACACUGCUUGGCUUUUAUUAACUAAUAAGGUGCUUCAUUGCCUCUCCUAUAAGACAAAUGGUAGUAUCAAGUAUAUUUCAGAUAUGAUCCUCUCCACAUCACUUCCUUGACCUGUGGCACAUUGCUGAGGCUUUUACUAAUUAAUGUAACAUUUGCUAAUUGUCCUAAGUGGUCAUAUUAUAAACACUUGCAACAUUUAAAAAACAAAAGCCUCCCUGUUUACGUAGAAAAUAUUAGCUUCUGCAGAACGUUUUGGACCUAAUAUGUGCUUUUCAACGACUCCAUAGCCUCCAAAGCUAUUCUUAUGAAACCAAUAUUUAUUUAGUUUUAUGCUGGACAAAACCCAGUCAUCUACCGUAAAUUAAGGAUGCAACAGAUAAAACGUGUUUUCCCCAGGAUUCAAUGGUGGUCAAUUGGCCACUUAUGAUGUCUGAAAUCAUUAAAUAUUGCAUUGUUGCUAAUUCAGUAAAAACCUUGUCUGUUAUACUCUACACACUCUCAUAACUAGUGGGCAAUGUCUUAGCUUAAUGCAAUGUCAAUGCAAUGUCUUAGCUUAAUCUGUGUCUAAAAGUGCUAUAUGAAACACCAAUAUCCCAUAUUGUGGCCUGCAACAUCCAGCAGCAACGAGAUAGUGAACAAGUCACACACUUGUUAUCUUAGGUGCUAUACAAAAUAUUUAUUACAAUAUAGAAAUUUCUCAAACUUAGUCCCUACAAUCACCAAUAUUCUGGAUUUUGUUUAUAUACUUCCAUAUAAUCCAAAAUGAAUUCGCUAAUGGCUUGCUCCUUUUGACAGAUCCACUUGCUAGGUUAUACGCUAAACUGGAAAUUGUGGAGGCCAAAAAAAAUGUAGAUUCAUUUUUCCAGUUCAGAUGUCAAUGUGUCGAUGUAUUAAAAAAAUAAAUAAA
rnacentral:lncRNA from 1 species